CACCCGGUCCGCACGGGCGCCGUCGGCCUCAGGACAACGGACAGUGAUUUGCGCUGGUCGACGGGGUGUGCGUA
rnacentral:tRNA from 1 species